rnacentral:rRNA from 1 species
AGCAGCCGCGGUAAUUCCAGCUCCAAUAGCGUAUAUUAAAGUUGCUGCAGUUAAAAAGCUCGUAGUUGAAUUUCGGGACCAAUAUGUCGGUCGUGCCUCGGUACGUACUGGCAUCGUUGGUUUCUCCUUUCUGAAGAACCAUGAUGUCAUUUAUUUGGUGUCGUGGGGAAUCAGGACUGUUACUUUGAAAAAUUAGAGUGUUUAAAGCAGGCUCACGCUUGAAUACAUUAGCAUGGAAUAAUGAAAUAGGACGUUUGAUUCUAUUUUGUUGGUUUCUAGGAUCGACGUAAUGAUUAAUAGGGAUAGUUGGGGGCAUUAGUAUUCAAUUGUCAGAGGUGAAAUUCUUGGAUUUAUUGAAGACUAACUACUGCGAAAGCAUUUGCCAAGGAUGUUUUCAUUAAUCAAGAACGAAAGUUAGGGGAUCGAAGACGAUCAGAUACCGUCGUAGUCUUAACCAUAAACUAUGCCGACUAGGG